GGUAAAUGUUUCAUGAUAAGAAUUUCAUGUCUUUUGUAUUAAAGAAUUAAAUGGAUGAAAUAUGAAGUUUUAUUAAAAGAAAAAGGGGUGAAAAGAACAAAGUUUUGUCCAUCUUUGUUCAUCAUAGCUGAAAGUUAGAGAAGAGAAAGGAGAGGAGAAAGCUCUUGAGUAUUCGGUCAUUAGGAGGAGGAAAAUUGAAGCCGGUUCGUGUGUGGAUCUCGUCAGCAUAUCGUCGCAAACAGGAAAUCCCCAACCAUAGUGGGCUUGGAGCUGUGAGGGAAUUUGGAGUGGCCACCCGUUCUGAAAGUUUGAUUUUCUUCUGGUGAACUGGACAUCCUUUUUUUUACGUUUGAAGUUUUGGGUUUUUAAAUGUAAUAAGGCCACUUAAUUAUUUUUGAUGGUUUUAAUAUGUAUUACUAAGAUAGGUAUUACUUAUUUUAACUGUUGAAAUUAGAUAGCUUUAGGGCGCGUUUUCAAAAACAACAA